AACGAACGCUGGCGGCAUGCCUAACACAUGCAAGUCGAACGAGACCUUCGGGUCUAGUGGCGCACGGGUGCGUAACGCGUGGGAACCUGCCCUUAGGUUCGGAAUAACUCCCCGAAAGGGGUGCUAAUACCGGAUAAUGUCUUCGGACCAAAGGUUUAUCGCCUUUGGAUGGGCCCGCGUUGGAUUAGCUAGUUGGUAGGGUAAAAGCCUACCAAGGCGACGAUCCAUAGCUGGUCUGAGAGGAUGGUCAGCCACACUGGGACUGAGACACGGCCCAGACUCCUACGGGAGGCAGGAGUGGGGAAUAUUGGACAAUGGGCGAAGGCCUGAUGCAGCAAUGCCGCGUGAGUGAUGAAGGCCUUAGGGUUGUAAAGCUCUUUUACCCGGGAUGAUAAUGACAGUACCGGGAGAAUAAGCUCCGGCUAACUCCGUG
rnacentral:rRNA from 1 species